rnacentral:lncRNA from 1 species
CCUACAUAUCCAUAAUUUCUAUGUUUACGGAACACCUUUCGAUAAGUCACAACCUUCAUUUUAAAAUGGACUUUUGUAUUUGUAUUUUGCUUGUGAGUAUGGUCUUGGUUAAAACUUCGCAUUCUAGCAUUUACUUAUAUGAUAUCAUAUAGCAAGAAAGCUAUGAGACCCAAGUCACAAUUUAUUGUAUUCUCAUAGACCCUCAAAAUACUAGAGCUAGACAAAGAUAAACAACACGAUAGAGAAACUUCUGCUUUACAUGUACAUUGACAUUUGCAUGUGCAAAGCUCUCUUUCCUCCUUUCCUUUCUUUUCUUCCUCACCUUUCGAAUCUUUCUCCUAGAUUAAGGAGAUUGUUGUUUUGUUGUUAGUGGUUGCCAUCAUCAUCACAUUGAAAUCAACUUUAGUUAAUACUAGCCUCCUGCACGCGCUCACGGGCGUGCGGAAGGCCCUUUUGUAAUUAAGGCAUUCUACGUGCGACUUAAAUAAUUUAAAUGAUAACAAAAGAGCGGUUGCUCUCUGAUCUAAUUGCAGACACAAUCUGCAGAACCGUCUUCUAUGGGAUUUGAACUUGUGAAGUGUGAGGUGGAGACCUGAAUGUAACAAAUUGGUGUUAAGUGAAUAAUUCCAAACAUAUAAAAUUUAGAUCAUCACACCGAACGCAAACAGAACAAUUAAAUAAACAACUGAAGGCAUACGCAAUCUAAUUAGACAAAUAAGUGAACUUUCCCAUGCCGAAAUCUGAAAGGCCAACAGAAAUAUCUCAUUACAGCACAGAAGACAAAACUUAGGACAAAACUUAAAACUAAUCAAACUUAGGUGAACCAAUUAUAGAGAACAUAACCCUUGUAACCAAUCGGGAAAAGAUGCUUUUAAAUCCCAGAAAAAAAAAUUAAGAGGAGUUUUUUAAAAAACCAUCAUUUCAAUUAUUUUCCAGUCUUACAUUUGGAUUAAACAGAAAAUAUAAGUAAAAAUGCCAACUUUCUAAAAAAACUACAACUAUUUUUACAAAUUUCCAUUACCCAAUGCUGAAAAAUGAGAAUCACGAAGCAAUGAAGAACGGAACACGCGAGAACCAAAAAGUUAAAAACAACACGUAACCAUUUCAAAGACCCAAAAUCCUGCAAGGACAAAAAAAUCCCAUAAAAUCAGUACAUCAGCACUCCCUGCAAAACCCCAAAAUCAGAAAAUUAUAAAAAGAACCCAAAAUCAGUGGCAUGGUCCUCGUUUCUCCAUCAUUCAGUAGCUAAUGACCUAAUGGAAAAGAACCCAAAACAUACAGCUUAAAAUAUGGAAAGUGCUUAUAAAAGCUCAUGAAUAACGUUCAAAGCCUGCAUAGAAAUGGUAUAGCGCAGAUAACAACAAACAAUAAAACUAUGCACAGUAUAACCUAAAUCCGAUAUGUUGCAUUCCCCACACACAGAUUGUUCAAAAUUAAUUUCGUCUCCGUCUUUUUUCAAAUCUGAUAAAAUCCCCAAAACACAAAAAAUAGCAGCUAACUAUUUUUUGAACUCUGUAAACAACGAUAUGCAUCUUAACCCAUUUAACAUAUUCAUAAAAUAACAUCAAACACAUUUAUGCAUGAGAUAAUAUAGAAGUGAAGUCUCACAACUUUCAUAAAAAAUUAUUACUUUGUUAGAGAAAGGCUUGAAAAAAUAUGUAAAUUACUCACCUCUAUUACAAAAAUGUUACAACAGUAGACAAAAAAGGCCAAAAAUACCAAAAGCCGCACCUCCUGAAAUAAAAAACAUAACCAAACGACACAUUCUCAGUAUCUAAACGAUAUCCAGAAAAAAAGAAAUGAACAGACGAAACCCAUGUAAAUAUACAGAACAAACCAAAAAAAAAAAAAAGAACUGAAGCCAGUAAGAAGAUCACAAAUCUGAUAAAGCAAAAGGUAACAUAAUCUAUAUCGAUUUAAUUAUCCAUCCAAAAAGACAUUUGAAUGAAGAACAUUUUUAAGGAUCCAAACAACCAUUAAACUAAACAAUUAAAAGUAAAAACAGCAAAGCAUUCAUUGAAGAAAUAUAUAUAUAUAUAUAUAUUAUAACGUAUUUUGUUCUUUAUACCUAAAAGAAAAACAUUGGCUUUCUUGUAUGCACUGAAGUAUGCAUGUGUCGGAAAUUUACAAUCUAUAGAGACUCAAUCUCAGACUCAAAAAGACAUCUAAAGGAAAAGUAAUAAGAAAAAUAAGUAGUGGUUUUACCUAUACUCCAUGUGUGGACUCCAAUUUUCAAUCACAAUUCAAAAUUCAAGAGGCCUAUAAAUCAACCACAUAGGAAAUGAUCAGUGGAAGAAAAAGAAAAACAACUGAAGCCAAAAUAGCAUCUAACAAAUCAUUUAGAACCAUCACAGAAAACAAUUUUUGCAUAUAAGUAAUUUAAAGGAAUACCAUCAGGUCAUGCAUAUAUACAACGUACCCAAUUAGAUAAGUAGCACAUCAACAAUUGAUGAUCAAAAAGUUAGUCAGCCUCAAUUGCUUGAAUCUAAUUAACUCAAAGAUAAUAAACAGUCCAUUUAAUGCACGGGCUGACUAUCAAUUUUAUAAAGCUAUAAUUCUGUGCAGUUCAAAAACCAAGUGGAAGAAUAGGCAAAAACUAUCUCAUCGCCUGUAAAUGUAAUUAACUAAAUAUUAAACUUCACAGCCACAAAUAAACCUAAAUUCCUCCUAAAACUAUCUCAUUUAAGCUUGAUUUUACUAUAAUCUAUAAGUGUGGUAAAAAAUGGGAGGCCAAACGAUUUGUUAACAAAAAAGGUAGACAUAAAAGUAAAAGGAACAGGGCAGACAUUAGUUGAGGAGAAGCUAAUGUCACCUUGAAUUGACGACAAACAGUUCUUAUCUUCUCGAAUUAACGAAGAUAAGUACCAUUUUUCUUUAAUUCAAGGUAAUAUAAAAAGAAAUUAUACCUGUACAGUGUUCAGAUGUAGCAAUCCUAUGCAAUCGGCCAAAUGAUGUGUGUCCUCUCAAAGAUCUGUAUAUCCAUUACAGACUAAUCUUCAGUCUUGCAGAAAAUGAUAUGUUGACUACAAUUUCCCAUACUACUAAAAAACACAAAUAAUUCUAUCUACAAACCAAAUAAUAUGUGCAACUUUAUGCUACAAUGGUAGAAUAAGAUGGUUGUACAGGACGACACAAAGAUUGAGACUUUUUUUUACUUCUAAAAUUCUACACACUUUCGAGCCCUAAAUUUUCCCGGAAACAAAAAAAAGUGAAAGAAGUCGUACCUGGUUUGAGAGAGUGGGACACCAUCGGCGAGUUUGGUGUAGCAGUGAUGGCGGAGAUCUCUGGUGAGAAAGCUAAUAAGAUGGACAAAAUCAUUGAACAAAAAAAACCUCGCUUUUUAAAAUUAAAGUCAACAAAAAUUUGAACAAAGAAAAGAGAACUCAAACCCGAAACAAAUAAGUCGGAGAACUCGCCAGGAAACCCAAAGUUUCUGCAGGAUUGGCGAUUUCCUGAAAACCAAGCUUUUGUAGGUUUAAAAUUUCUUCCCUAAGGCAACAGAUCCAACAUUCCCAACUUUAGCUAUUUCAGCUACAUAAUAGAAAGAAAAAAAAAUUUAUAUAAUUAACUAAUCUGAUUUAAGAUUAAUCGAAAAGCUUGGAAAUUUCAGCUUUAAAAUUACAUGUCAGGCUGCAAAUCUAAUAAAAAGCGUAGAAUUUUAAAAAUGCUGACCUUAAAUACAGAGGCCUUCGCAGGCUGCAAAGAAGCGUUAGAAACCCGAAAAACCGGAUCUCCUGAAACCAAAAACAAAACCAAAUUAACCAUCAUCACCCAUAAUUCGAAGCCACAAACAUAAUCCCCAAAAUUACAACCCAAAAAUUUAAACAAAAAAACCCAUUUAUAAAUCCAAAUUUACACUCCCAAGUGCAAGACUCUAAGCUCCAACUGUUCUUUCUCAACUUUAGCUAUUUCAGCAACAUAACAUAAAUAAAAAGGUCGUACCCAGUGCACAAGGCUCCCGCUUUACGCAGGGUCUGGGAGAGGUGAAUGUCGGCUAGCCUUACCCCCAUUUUAUGGAGAGGCUGCUCCCAAGUCUCGAACCCGAGACCUACCGCUCAUGGGCGAAGACACUUGCCAUCGCACCAAGUGCGACCUCUAGCAACAUAACAUAAAUAAAAAGAUCGUACCCAGUGCACAAGGCUCCCGCUUUACGCAGGGUCUGGGAGAGGUGAACGUCGGCUAGCCUUACCCCCAUUUUAUGAAGAGGCUGGAACAUAACAUAAAUAAAUAAACAAAAUUAAUUUAACUAUAAUUAACUAAUAUGAUUUAAGAUUAAUCAAAAAACUUGGAAAUCUGCUUGAAUCCAAUCUCAAAAUUGAAAACGAACACUUCACUUUUACAAAAGUUGUACAAAGCAAAAAAAAAAAAACAGACAAAUCAAAGUCUCACAAAGGGCCACAACGACAGCAAAAUUGCAACAGAAAGAGGAAAAAUGUUCAAUCAAACCAUUGGAUAACUCUUCUAAGGCAGCCAAAAAAAAACCCACAAAUUCAAAACCACAAAAAUCCAAUCUAAAACAUCGAUUCACAGACUGAGAUGCACAAAAUGAUAUAUUAACAAAUCCAAAACGAAAUACAAAAAUUAAGAACCAACAAGCAAAAAAAUACUGAUUAUCCCCUGCAUACGUGAGCACACGUUCAAAAAGCCUCUCAAAGGCUGAGAUUCAACUUUCAAACAUAAAGACUUUAAGCCACAAUUGUUCUUUCUUAACUUUAGCUACUUCAGUUACAUAAUCGGAAAAAAAAAAUUAUUUAAUUAUAGUUAACUAAUCUGGGUUAAGAUUAAUAAAAAAGCUUGGAAAUUUCAGAUCUAAAAUCACACCUCAGGCUGCAAGUAGAAUCAAAACCAUGGAAUUUCAAAAUCACUGACCUUAAACACACAGGUCUUCGCAGGCUUCAAAGAAAAGUCACAAACUCGAAAAACCCAAUCUCCUGAAAUCGAAAACAAAACCAAAUUAACCAUCAUCACCUAGAAUCCGAAGCUACAAAACAAAAUUCCCAAAAUCAAAACCAAAAAAUUUGAACAAAAAACUCAUUUAAUAUCCAAAUUUACACUCCCAAGCACAUAACAUUCAAAGCAGACAAUUACCCAAAUCAAAUCGACAGCAGGAGAUGCAAUCUUUUAUGGGCUUCAAAUUUUCUUCAAACCGAGACCAAAUUCGCUAGUUUUCAGCAAGAGAGCGUUGCCGUUUGUAACCCCCGAUGAAAAGAUCCAAACAAAUUUGACUAACAGUAGACAGAGAGAGAGAGAGAUAGAGAGAGAGAGGUGAAAAUUACUCGCUGGUGACGAAGCUAAUGAAUUCGGAGACGCAUUCCUGGACGGUGUUCGACUGAUCGGCACGAGUAGAGACACCAGAUCAGAAAGACAGAAAAAUUAGGGUUUGGGAGAUAAAGAAACUGGGGCAGAGAGAGAGGGAAAGAGAAGCAGAAAAGAGGAUAAUUUUAUGCAUUUUUUUUAGCCGCUUUGAAUUUUUUUUGGCCGACAGGCAUUUGCGUCCGAUUAUUUUUGUCGAAGCCGGUGACACCAAAACCGGCCUCCGGCUUUCGGACCAGGAUUGUCUGCCCCUUCAUUUUCCCUGCCAUGUCUGUGUGGUCACGGUUAAAUCAUGUUAAUAUUUUAUAUUAUUAUUAUUUUUAUCUUAUUAUAUCUAUAAAAAAACAAUAUAAAAUGUUGACGUGGCUUAACUAUGACCACACAAAACAGAAUGGCACAAGGAGGGCACCGGAAGUGAAGGGUAGACAAUCCUUAUCCUCGACUUUCUAUAUAAAAGAUAAUUAACUUUAAUAAUUGUAAUAGGAAGUAAUGAUUAUGUCCUUUGGGUCAACAUUUGUAGGCUAUAUCUAAAAAAAAUACUAAAAAAGUUUAAACACAAAACCCCCCAAAAUUAUAAAAUCAAAAUAUAAUGUACUACCCCUUUUCUCCCGUUUUUAUCUCGCCCUCCAUUUCUGCAAAUCACCAACCUCCCUCUCUGCCCAUAUAUACUCCCUACCUCUCUCAUAAUAUCAAAACUCUCAAACCCAAUUCAUUGCCUCAUUACCUAGUUGAUAAAAGUCCCUAUAACAGUAUCAAAGCAACUAUAAUUACAAAGAAGUUGAGAGAUUACUUUCUCAUUAUCAAAACCACUACUGGAUUUAUGCAGACACAAAGGAUGCGUUUGUUGCACCGGACUAUCUCGGACUUGACUAACUUUAGGGACUAAGCUGGACUGGCUUAUACUAGACUAAGGGCUGGUUUGGUAUUGUUGUGCUUUGAAAAAAAACUGCUGUGAGAAUAAGCGGCUGUGCUGUGAGAAUAAGCGACUGUGAAAUAAAUCAGCAGAGUGUUUGGUAAACUUUUUUGUAAAAGUGCUUUUGGAAAAAAAAAAACAGUCUGAUAGUAGGUCUUUUCAUUGAAGGAGCACUGUAGCUCUGUGUGCUUUGAAAAAAAAGCCAGUUUUCCAAAACUGCAAAUAGAUGCUUCAGCUUUUUCUUUGAUUUCAGCUUAUUCUCACAACAGCUUCCAAAAUAAGCCUUUUUUUUUUAGUUUACCAAAAGCCUAAAACUCUCAUAGCUUUUUUUCAUGGAUGCUUUUUUUUUAAGCACCUCACUCCCAAACCACCCCUAAGAUGGACUGACUUAGUGAAGCGUUUGACGCAGUGCCGGAUUAAGAAGCAGGACUCUAAUAUUAUAUUAUUAAAUCUAUAUAUACAAUAUUUUAUCAUUGAUUUAAUCUAAUCUACUAAUUUUUUUAUUAUUAUUUUAUCAUUUGGCUAGAAUCAUCUUCUUCCCUGAUUCAUUUUUAUCUCCGCCCAUAACUCUCAACCCUCUCCCUUUUUUCUGCCUUUUCUCCCUCUUUUUCUCAAUACUACCGUCUUCCCCCAAAAAAUCCCAACCCCUCCCUC